CGGCAAUCAUUUGUUUCUUCUUGUUAGCAAGCCCCAAGCCCAGGUUUCUUCAGGCAAGCAAGAAGGCAGAAACAAAGCACACUGGUGGAGCACAGCAGUUUACUUAGUUUCAAUGUAAAGGGUCUUCAAACCCAUGACAAGAACUUAGUAGUAGAAAUAUUGUGAUGGAAGGCAACAGAUGAGCUCAUUUGAUAUAUAAUAAGGUUGAAGG
rnacentral:lncRNA from 1 species